rnacentral:rRNA from 1 species
UAAACGACUCUCGGCAACGGAUAUCUCGGCUCCCGCAUCGAUGAAGAACGUAGCGAAAUGCGAUACUUGGUGUGAAUUGCAGAAUCCCGUGAACCAUCGAGUCUUUGAACGCAAGUUGCGCCCGAAGCCAUAGGCCGAGGGCACGUCUGCCUGGGCGUCACAC